rnacentral:rRNA from 1 species
AGCGAACGCUGGCGGCAGGCCUAACACAUGCAAGUCGAACGAAGUCUUCGGACUUAGUGGCGGACGGGUGAGUAACACGUGGGAACGUGCCUUUAGGUUCGGAAUAACCCAGGGAAACUUGUGCUAAUACCGAAUGUGCCCUUCGGGGGAAGGAUUUAUCGCCUUUAGAGCGGCCCGCGUCUGAUUAGCUAGUUGGUGAGGUAAAGGCUCACCAAGGCGACGAUCAGUAGCUGGUCUGAGAGGAUGAUCAGCCACAUUGGGACUGAGACACGGCCCAAACUCCUACGGGAGGCAGCAGUGGGGAAUCUUGCGCAAUGGGCGAAAGCCUGACGCAGCCAUGCCGCGUGAAUGAUGAAGGUCUUAGGAUUGUAAAAUUCUUCCACCGGGGACGAUAAUGACGGUACCCGGAGAAGAAGCCCCGGCUAACUUCGUGCCAGCAGCCGCCGCAGUAA